rnacentral:misc_RNA from 1 species
CACACUCCAUCAGCACAACCAAAUGCUUAAAAAAUUUUAAAUGGACAUAGACCAACAAGCAUUUGUUAAAACAAGAACGAUAGCCCUCACUUUCCAAUAUUAGUCAUUCAGUACUUUAUUUUCACAGGGCCAACAAGUUUAUUAACAAGAACACAACAUGCUUGUUAAAAAACAAGUCACAGAAAUUACAAAAACUACACAAACCCAACGCCCAUUUCAUUUGUUGCUGCCUGGAAACAACCUCUUCGAUCCUAGUACUUAGUAGCUACCAGUUAAGACUAAUGAACUUCUUUAUCUCAUUUCAGCAGAUGAUCCCAUAUUCUCCUCUUCAGUGAUAGACACCAAGUACUUGUUGUCAGAAUUCCUGGCAGAGCAAUUGGCACGAAUUUCCCCUUGAUUCCCUGUCAGCACGUCCAAUUGCCCCAUCUUGAUCAUGGAAAGCACGAAUUCUUCAAAGAACAAUGUUUCAUUGAUAGCAAAGCUAGUGACAAUGCCCCUUGUUCUCUUAUCCGUGUACAGAUCUUGGUCCGAUGUAAAAAGACCCUGACGGUUCAUGAGAUCAACGAAGUAUUUGUUGUCAAAUUUAUUAGGGGACCUAAUAUCCAAGAAAGUUAUGUUGCUGGUGUCUAUUUUUGGACAAGUUAGCUUGAGAUUAUUGGCAAAGGUUUUAUCCAUGGUAGGAUCUUGGGUUGGAUAAAGACGGUCAGUGAAAGAUGUGCAGUGGCCAAUGCCAAUGGUGUGGGCACCUGAGAGGGCCACUGCAUCGGUGGCAUCAAGGUUUUUCCGGGCAAGCUUGGUGAGAAUGGUGGUAGUGUUAGCGUCAGGUCCUACCAGGUCUACAAAAGUUUGGUUUACUUGAGCGAAUACUACUCCGUCUCGCCUUCCCAAGGGGACAUCAUAGUCAGGGCCACCGGUUAGGACAACGGAGUCACGGGCAGCGAUCGCGACGAUGUCAGAGCAAGAGACGACACGGCCACACUCUUUGUGGACAAUCUCGCGGAGGUUGUUGACGAUUUUAAAUGCUUCUUUCCUCAAGGUCAAGUUAGGAAGUUCAGACUUCUCGCUUGGUCCACCUGCUGAUCCAUCAAGCAACACCGAGCUAUCGCAUCCCUGAACGAAGCAGUCAUGGAAGUGGAGACGAAGCAAGCCUGCAGCUUGGCCAACAUCUUUCUUGAAAACUUUCUUGAGCUCAUUUCUGAUAAUAGAUUCAACUUUAGGGCAGCUAGAUUUGUAGAAAGUCCAAGAGAGACCAUUCACUAUAGGAGGUUUGCUUUGUGCUUCAGUGGCACUAAAGCAAGAAGCAAGCAACACGCAAGAGAUCAAAAGGAGAGGAGUACUACUAGCCAUGGCUGCUGGUUUGUGUGUGCGUGUCCUAGCACUGAGAGGGUGUUUAUUUAUAGCCAAUGUAAUGUUUUAUUUUAAGCCCUAGCUUUUGAAUUGUCAAUUCUUGGA